UUGAACGCUGGCGGCAGGCCUAACACAUGCAAGUCGAACGGUAACAGGAAGCAGCUUGCUGCUUCGCUGACGAGUGGCGGACGGGUGAGUAAUGUCUGGGAAACUGCCUGAUGGAGGGGGAUAACUACUGGAAACGGUAGCUAAUACCGCAUAACGUCGCAAGACCAAAGAGGGGGACCUUCGGGCCUCUUGCCAUCGGAUGUGCCCAGAUGGGAUUAGCUAGUAGGUGGGGUAACGGCUCACCUAGGCGACGAUCCCUAGCUGGUCUGAGAGGAUGACCAGCCACACUGGAACUGAGACACGGUCCAGACUCCUACGGGAGGCAGCAGUGGGGAAUAUUGCACAAUGGGCGCAAGCCUGAUGCAGCCAUGCCGCGUGUAUGAAGAAGGCCUUCGGGUUGUAAAGUACUUUCAGCGGGGAGGAAGGGAGUAAAGUUAAUACCUUUGCUCAUUGACGUUACCCGCAGAAGAAGCACCGGCUAACUCCGUGCCAGCAGCCGCGGUAAUACGGAGGGUGCAAGCGUUGAUCGGAAUUACUGGGCGUAAAGCGCACGCAGGCGGUUUGUUAAGUCAGAUGUGAAAUCCCCGGGCUCAACCUGGGAACUGCAUCUGAUACUGGCAAGCUUGAGUCUCGUAGAGGGGGGUAGAAUUCCAGGUGUAGCGGUGAAAUGCGUAGAGAUCUGGAGGAAUACCGGUGGCGAAGGCGGCCCCCUGGACGAAGACUGACGCUCAGGUGCGAAAGCGUGGGGAGCAAACAGGAUUAGAUACCCUGGUAGUCCACGCCGUAAACGAUGUCGACUUGGAGGUUGUGCCCUUGAGGCGUGGCUUCCGGAGCUAACGCGUUAAGUCGACCGCCUGGGGAGUACGGCCGCAAGGUUAAAACUCAAAUGAAUUGACGGGGGCCCGCACAAGCGGUGGAGCAUGUGGUUUAAUUCGAUGCAACGCGAAGAACCUUACCUGGUCUUGACAUCCACGGAAGUUUUCAGAGAUGAGAAUGUGCCUUCGGGAACCGUGAGACAGGUGCUGCAUGGCUGUCGUCAGCUCGUGUUGUGAAAUGUUGGGUUAAGUCCCGCAACGAGCGCAACCCUUAUCCUUUGUUGCCAGCGGUCCGGCCGGGAACUCAAAGGAGACUGCCAGUGAUAAACUGGAGGAAGGUGGGGAUGACGUCAAGUCAUCAUGGCCCUUACGACCAGGGCUACACACGUGCUACAAUGGCGCAUACAAAGAGAAGCGACCUCGCGAGAGCAAGCGGACCUCAUAAAGUGCGUCGUAGUCCGGAUUGGAGUCUGCAACUCGACUCCAUGAAGUCGGAAUCGCUAGUAAUCGUGGAUCAGAAUGCCACGGUGAAUACGUUCCCGGGCCUUGUACACACCGCCCGUCACACCAUGGGAGUGGGUUGCAAAAGAAGUAGGUAGCUUAACCUUCGGGAGGGCGCUUACCACUUUGUGAUUCAUGACUGGGGUG
rnacentral:rRNA from 1 species